rnacentral:miRNA from 1 species
UCUUGUUAAAAAGCAGAGUCU